GACGAACGCUGGCGGCGUGCUUAACACAUGCAAGUCGAACGGAAAGGCCCUGCUUUUGCGGGGUGCUCGAGUGGCGAACGGGUGAGUAACACGUGAGUAACCUGCCCUUGACUUUGGGAUAACUUCAGGAAACUGGGGCUAAUACCGGAUAGGAGCUCCUGCUGCAUGGUGGGGGUUGGAAAGUUUCGGCGGUUGGGGAUGGACUCGCGGCUUAUCAGCUUGUUGGUGGGGUAGUUGCUUACCAAGGCUUCGACGGGUAGCCGGCCUGAGAGGGUGACCGGGGACAUUGGGACUGAGGUACGGACCAGACUCGUACGGUAGGCAGCAGUGGGGAGUAUUGCACAGUGGGGGGGAGCCUGAUGCAGCAGCGUCGCGUGCGUAAUGACGGCCUUCGGGUUAUAAACCGCUUUCGCCUGUGACGAAGCGUGAGUGACGGUAAUGGGUAAAGAAGCACCGGCUAACUACGUG
rnacentral:rRNA from 1 species